CUCAAUUAUGUUUUACUUCUGCGUAUAUGCAAUGCCUGUAAAAGAGAACAACUCGGUUAUUUAUUAGAUUAGCAAUUAGAGUUAGAUAGUAACUAAAUUUCUAAUCCUCCAUUGAUUUUGAGUCCUAGACCAAUCCAAACUCCAACACUUGUCCGGAUGUGUUCUCUUCUCUUUCUCAAAUUGACCAAUGCAACAACUUAUGUUAAAUAAUAAUUUUAUCAAGCAAAUUCAAGAUACUAGUAAGCUAAGCAUCAACUAACCGUAAAGGCUAAGCUACAAAACAACAACAUACUUCAUUCAUCCUCAUAUAAGUGCGUAAGACAUCAAAAUUAUAUUAAUCAUGAAAAGGUUAAGAAACGACCUUAGAUAUAUUUUUUCAAACGAAAUCUUAAAAUCCUUAAUAAAACUCGACAAAAACAUGACCAAUAUUCAACAACGGACCUCGAAUCGGCACCGAGAAUUUCAAAUCCAUACACAAACUCAAAUGACAUUCAUUUUGGAACAAAAAUCUAAGAACAAACUUCACAAACCGCGAUAGUAAACAGUAGUAAUAGCAAAUAAGAGUCAAAUGAUAUUAGAAUAGUAGGUCUUCAAUCUUCAGUUAUUCGUGCUAUCACAAUUUGCAAGAAUAUACAACUGAGAUGAUUUUUUCGAUGAAUUUAGAGGCGUCUAGGUCUGGCGCGGCUAGUUUUGUUGUGAAGAAGAAAAGUAGCGAUGGUGUUGGCUGCACGUCGAAACUUCUGGUUAUGGACGACAGCGACACUAGUUUUGGAGGUGACUGUUGUGUUUGGUGGGGUGGAAGAAGGUGACGACUUAAGGGGUGGUGUCUAAUUUUCUUCAUGAAGAUGGCUGCUCCUUUU
rnacentral:lncRNA from 1 species